rnacentral:rRNA from 1 species
GUCUACGGCCAUGCCACCCUGAACAAGCCCGAUGUCUGAUCUUGGAAGCUAAGCAAGGUCAGGCCUGGUUAGUACUUGGAUGGGAGACCACCUAGGAAGACCAGGUGCCGUGGGCA